AGUGAACGCUGGCGGUAGGCCUAACACAUGCAAGUCGAACGGCAGCACAGUAAGAGCUUGCUCUUACGGGUGGCGAGUGGCGGACGGGUGAGGAAUACAUCGGAAUCUACUUUUUCGUGGGGGAUAACGUAGGGAAACUUACGCUAAUACCGCAUACGACCUACGGGUGAAAGCAGGGGAUCUUCGGACCUUGCGCGAUUGAAUGAGCCGAUGUCGGUGUAGCUAGUUGGCGGGGUAAAGGCCCACCAAGGCGACGAUCCGUAGCUGGUCUGAGAGGAUGAUCAGCCACACUGGAACUGAGACACGGUCCAGACUCCUACGGGAGGCAGCAGUGGGGAAUAUUGGACAAUGGGCGCAAGCCUGAUCCAGCCAUACCGCGUGGGUGAAGAAGGCCUUCGGGUUGUAAAGCCCUUUUGUUGGGAAAGAAAAGCAGCAGGUUAAUACCCCGCUGUUCUGACGGUACCCAAAGAAUAAGCACCGGCUAACUUCGUG
rnacentral:rRNA from 1 species